AUGGCACCUGAGCUCUAUGGGAUGCACGCCAAUCCCAACUGCAUAAACAAAUAUGGAUACUUUGUGCUCCACGAAGCUGCUGAAAGGUUCUCUGUUGACAUGAUCAAGCUGCUUUUACGCCAUGGUGCAUCACCCAAUGUGCGCACUAUUGGCAAUGAUGUCAUUGAGAAUCUACUCCCGCUCCAUGUCGCAAUUGAGAAUACUUGCCUGCAUAAGUAUCUUGAGGACAAUCUGGAGGACAAUCUUUCUCGCAGCCAGAAUCAUCUCGAUUAUAUCUACAAGCUUAUUCAUCUGCUAUGUCUACCUGAAAUGAAGAUCUUCUUGGACACAACUAGACUGCUUGCAGAGAAAACAAAUAAUCUACUUCAAGAGCUCUGGAAUUACAUUGAGGAUGGAAAAAUUAUCCAGUCUGCUGUUCUACUACUGGCUGCUCAAGAGCAGAUCCGUGGAGGCAGUUCUUCCAAGAUAAAUGGCAGUAGUAAGAAAAAUGGGUUUGACCUUAUCAGUAACUGUAUAAUGAGGCUUUCAUUUUCCUUGAGAUGGGAGAAAGGUUCACAUGCAAUGGCACCGGAGCUUCUGGAGGAAAGGAAGACACUUACUGAUUGCGCAUGGCUGCUUGUUGAUGUAAUUUCCCAUGCCGGUGAAGAUCUUUCUGCAUACAUUCAAACGCAUUCUGAGGUGCCCCAUGUGGAGGUCUUUCAACAUGUUUCAUCUAUCCUCAAGGAGUAUGGAUUUUGCCCUACUGGAGAUCCCAUGGACACUGUAAACCUCCAGCCUUAUGACUGCAGAAAGUCAAACGGAGAGUCAUGCAAAGGGCUUACAAAUGCAAACAUGGCAGUUAUGGAAUUGGCCAAUCUGGAUGCUGCAGAGGAAAAGGUCACAACCGUUGGAAAUGACAACCUCUCCCUUAUGGCACGUCAGCACACCAAAAAAACACAGGCUGUGAGAAAGAAAGCAGGCGGAGGAUGGGAUCCCACAUAUACAAAGAGAAGUUUCUUCCCAUACUGGAGAUCAGUGUUACAAGAUCGGGUUCCUUUGAAGGUGUAUCCAGCCUAUGCAAGCUCAGAUCCUAGUCCAAAUCAUAAACUUGGUCCAAUGCGAAGGACCUCGCCAUUUACAAGCAACAAUCAACCCAGAAGGUGCUUUGUCACUGCUGCUAUUGGUGCAUUCAGGCUCUUGAAGGUGCUAAAAUAG
rnacentral:rRNA from 1 species